CGAACACUUGUAUGAUUUUACACAUGAUAGUCAAGUUGAAAAUUUUCGUCACAUUUUUCUCAGGAACUACAAUACAAGGAUUUCUGAAAUUUGGUUUCAGGAUUUAUAAAGGUCAGCUAUACCGUGUGAUGCGUUUUCAGAUUCAUCACUCGACAACUUCCUGUUUACCGAACACUUGCAUAUUUUUACAUUAUUAAUAUUAUCCACUUGCGGCGGG
rnacentral:lncRNA from 1 species